rnacentral:piRNA from 1 species
UUCAUGAUGGUUCAGAUCCCCACUGAGGUC